rnacentral:rRNA from 1 species
GGCGAACGCUGGCGGCGUGCUUAACACAUGCAAGUCGAACGGAAAGGCCUGCUUUCCCUUGUGGAUUGCGGGUACUCGAGUGGCGAACGGGUGAGUAACACGUGAGUGAUCUGCCCCCAACUUGGGUAUAAGCCUGGGAAACUGGGUCUAAUUCCCGAUAGGACUGCAGGGUGGUGCCUGUGGUGGAAAACGAUUUUCUAGUGGUUGGGGAUGAGCUCGCGGCCUAUCAGCUUGUUGGUGGGGUAAUGGCCUACCAAGGCGGCGACGGGUAGCCGGCCUGAGAGGGGGGACGGCCACAUUGGGACUGAGAUACGGCCCAGACUCCUACGGGAGGCAGCAGUGGGGAAUAUUGCACAAUGGGCGGAAGCCUGAUGCAGCGACGCCGCGUGGGGGAUGACGGCCUUCGGGUGGUAAACUCCUUUCGACCGCGAGGAAGCCACCUGGUUGGAAGGGUGGUGACGGUAGUGGUAGAAGAAGCACCGGCUAACUACGUG